ensembl:ncRNA lncRNA:CR46224 long non-coding RNA:CR46224
GUAUGAAAAAUCAGCAAAACGAAGGUCCCGGAAAAUAUUACAACUCCCACCACGAAGCAGACUGGAAAGUCCUGGCAGGACAACUGGCUCACAUGUGCAGCGUUAUUAUCUUUUGAACUGACCACAAGACGUGUCAACUUGCGGUUCCAUCUACUGCCGAGAAUAUUUCACAUAUAAAUCAUGCUAAGAAAAACCCUCAAGACACGUGAGCUUCCCAACAUUCUUUUCCUGCCAGCAAGCCGCUU